CGGCGAAGGCUUAAACACAUAGCAAGGUCGAGGGGUAAGUAGUAGACAAUACUAGGAGACCCGGCGCACGGGUGCGUAACGCGUAUGCAACCUACCUUUACAGAGGGAUAGCCCAGAGAAAUUUGGAUUAAUACCUCAUAGUGUUAUUAGAUGGCAUCAUUUGAUAACUAAAGUUCCAACGGUAAAAGAUGGGCAUGCGUCCUAUUAGCUAGAUGGUAAGGUAACGGCUUACCAUGGCUACGAUAGGUAGGGGUCCUGAGAGGGAGACUCCCCCACACUGGUACUGAGACACGGACCAGACUCCUACGGGAGGCAGCAGUGAGGAAUAUUGGACAAUGGGCACAAGCCUGAUCCAGCCAUGCCGCGUGCAAGGAAGAAGCAUCUAUGGUGUGUAAACUGCUUUUGUACGGGAAGAAACACUCCUACGUGUAGGAGCUUGACGGUACCGUAAGAAUAAGGAUCGGCUAACUCCGUG
rnacentral:rRNA from 1 species